GAAAACUCUUUUCCAUUAUUUCACUCUGCCAUGGCCAUGGGCUUAAGGACUCAAUCUUUUGAUCAUCAUAGGACUACUCCUCUUAUCUACCGAGGUUGAUAGAUCCCAUCUUGGUGCAAUCUGAUUCCUACAAUGAAUAUGCUACAGCCAACAUACACCUCAGGAUUCUGAAUGGCUAGGAGAUCGAGUUAUGGUAUAGUCAAACUAUAACACACUCAAGGUGAACUGUCGAUGCACGUCAGGUCAAAGAACU
rnacentral:lncRNA from 1 species